CCUGCAGCAGGGUUUCCAGUUUCCAAAGCUGAUGUGAUCUCACAGCUUGAAUGAGGGGAAGAGCCGUAGGUCCCAGACCUCCAGGGCUCUGAGAAAGAAGUGCUUCCAAGAGCUGCCUUCCCAGGUGGUGAUCUAUGUCUGGAUUCUCUCUAUCUCCCUUCAGGUGAUGGGAUGGUGAGUCAGAAUGAGGAGGAGAAAUCCCAUCAGAAAGAUGCUGAGCAAGGAGAACCACAUGGAAAUUUAUCAGGAAGAUCCAAAGGGAAUGUUUCCGGGAGUUGUACACUCUCAGAAAAUACAAAAGCCUGUGAGACUCAGCAGAGGCCGGAGAGAAAGUUUAGUAUCCUCUCAGACCUUGUAACAAGCGACAGAAUCAACUUGGAAGAGACACGCUACACAUGCCAAAAGUGUGGGAAAAGCUUUAGUCAGAGCUCUGCCCUUUUCAGACAUCAGAGAAUCCACACAGGAGAAGCGCCCCACACAUGCUCAGAGUGCAGGAAAAUCUUUAGUCGGAGCUUUACCCUGAACACACGUUAUAGAUCCACACAGGAGAGAAGCCCUGCACAGGCGCCGCGUGUGGGGAAAGCUGCAAUUGGUGCUCAAACCUUAUCACACAUCAGAGAAUCCACACAGGAGAGAAGCCCUGCACAGGCGCUGAGUGCGGGGAAAGCUGCAAUUGGCCCUCACACCUUAUCAGACAUAGGAAAAUCCACAUGGGUGACAAACCCUGUGGAUGCUCUAAGUGUGAGAAAUGUUACUUCAAUCAUUCAGGCCUCAUCUUACGUCAUAGAAUCAACACAGGAGAAAGGCCCCACACAUGCUCUGGGUGCAGGAAAAGCUUCAAUCAGCACUCAAGCUUCAUGAGACAUCAGAAAAUCCACAUGAGAUAGAAUUGUAAUAAAUCCUGUGACUAGGCUUGGCCAAAAUAUCUUUAAAAAAAAUCGCAUUUGCUAAUUCCCACAUAGUGAUUUUUGUACCAUCUUCACCGUGGUCUCUCAGCUCCACUUAGAUAAGUUGCCUUCUUCUGCCUUUUGCAGCUCAUCCUUCUUUGGACUCAGUCUUAUGAUCUUUUCUAUCAAUUCCUUUCUUUUUGAGUCAUAGGAGUGUGUGUCCCUCCUGCCAGGAAUGUUCAUCAGCUCCAGGUGGGGGAGAGAGGUUUGAUCCCAACAAGGGACACUUGUUGCAGGCACAGAGGGUACCUGAGGCAAGCAACAGUGGUCCGUGCCUGGAGUGCUUAGCGCCA